CGCGGGAGCCGGCGUGGCGGCGGCGGCGGGCGCCUUCCGCCUCGCGUCUCCGCAAGGGCAGGGCGACAGAGGGAGAGGGCAAGUUAGAGAAAGAGAGAGAGGAGGAUCUUUCAUCCACUGGCUCACUCCCCAAAUGUCUGCAACAGCCAGGGCUGGGCCUGCCCUACCCCAGCAGCCAGAAACUCCGUCCUGGUCUCCCACAUGGGUGGCAGGAGCCCAAGCACCUGAACCAACAUCCGGUGCCUCCUGGUGCAUGCGUUAGCCGAAGCUGGACGGGAAGUGGGGCUGCCAGGACGACAGCCAGCACUCAGAUGUGGGCUGCUGGUGUCACAAGUGGCAGCUGAACCGCUGCGCCACAGUGCUGGCCCUGAUAAACGUGUUUUGAAAGAUCGCCCUGCUCUAUAAAGAAUGGCAUAUAGGCAAGCAGAAGCCAAAGUGUCUACAACCAUCUUGACCAUUGGGAUAAUCCAGAUGAAAGACUGUUGCUCGAAUACAGGAGGUGGCAGUGUGGAGAGAGGAAAAAAAUGGAUUUAAGAUAAGUUUUGGAUGACGUUGACAGGACUUCCCGAAGGACUGGAUGUCGUAGGUAACCAAGAAUUUCAUCAGGGAGAACUGCCACGUGUUUGGCUUAAGCCACUGGGUGAGUGAUGAUGCUGUUCAGUGAAUGAAAUACUUGCGGGGAGAGAGUGUGCGCUCCUGAGUUCUCUUCUGUGGAGGCCGCCUGGGAGCUUGGAUGAGAUACACCAGAGGGUCAGUCAAGUAAGUAAGUGAUGGAGACCUGCUUGUCCACCAGAAUAAAAUGAUUGCUGUCUCUGUUGGCCGUCCACCUGCACUCCAUUCCCCAGCCCCUAAGUAGCUGUGGCCACGUACCUGUGCUCUCCCCAGUGGACGGUGAGCAGGACAGCCGUGCUCAGUUUCCAGACGUGGCCCGGAAAGCCCUCCUGCAGGUGCUGCACUGUGCUCUUACUGGACACGGACCAUGAGAAGAGUCUGGACAAGACACAGGCUCGGAGUAGAAGAUUCCUGGGUAGAGAACUCUGCCUCUCUUCACAGAUGUCUACAUGUGAAUGUGAUGUGAGAAAAAUAAACUUCUUUUCUGUGGA